CCUACGGGUGGCAGCAGUAGGGAAUAUUGCUCAAUGGGGGAAACCCUGAAGCAGCAACGCCGCGUGGAGGAUGAAGGUUUUAGGAUUGUAAACUCCUUUUGUUAGAGAAGAUUAUGACGGUAUCUAACGAAUAAGCAGCGGCUAACUCCGUGCCAGCAGCCGCGGUAAUACGGAGGGUGCCAGCGUUACUCGGAAUCACUGGGCGUAAAGAGUGCGUAGGCGGGGUAAUAAGUCUGAUGUGAAAUCCUGUAGCUUAACUACAGAACUGCAUUUGAAACUGUUUCUCUGGAGUGUGCGAGAGGUACGCGGAAUGCGUGGUGUAGCGGUAAAAUCCAUAGAGAUCAAGAGGAAUACUCAUUGCGAAGGCGACCUACUGGAACACUACUGACGCUGAUGCACGAAAGCGUGGGGAGCGAACAGGAUUAGAUACCCUUGUAGUC
rnacentral:rRNA from 1 species